UUUAUUGGAGAGUUUGAUCCUGGCUCAGGACGAACGCUGGCGGCAUGCCUAAUACAUGCAAGUCGAGCGGACUUGAAGAGAAGCUUGCUUCUCU
rnacentral:rRNA from 1 species